rnacentral:rRNA from 1 species
AGUGAACGCUGGCGGUAGGCCUAACACAUGCAAGUCGAACGGCAGCACAGUAAGCGCUUGCUCUUACGGGUGGCGAGUGACGGACGAGUGACGAAUACAUCGGAAUCUACUUUUUCGUGGGGGAUAACGUGGGGACACAGACGCUAAUACCGCAUACCACCUACGGGUGAGAGCAGGGGAUCUUCAGCCCUUGCGCGAUUCAAAGAGCCGAUGUCGGAUUGGCUUGUUGGCGGGGUAAAGGCCUACCAACGCGACGCUCCGUAGCGUGCCUGAGAGGAUGACCCCCCACCUUAGAACUGAGACACGUCCCACACUCCUACGGGAGGCAGCAGUGGGGAAUCUUCCGCAAUGGGCGAAAGCCUGACGCAGCAACGCCGCGUGAGUGAUGAAGGCCUUCCGAUAGUAAAGCUCUGUUAUUGGGGAAGAAAAAAUGUAUUAUAACCUACGCUUUUCUGGCCGGUCCCUAAACAAAAAGCCCCGGCUAACUUCGUC